rnacentral:rRNA from 1 species
UACGAAGGGGGCUAGCGUUGCUCGGAAUCACUGGGCGUAAAGGGUGCGUAGGCGGGUCUUUAAGUCAGGGGUGAAAUCCUGGAGCUCAACUCCAGAACUGCCUUUGAUACUGAGGAUCUUGAGUCCGGGAGAGGUGAGUGGAACUGCGAGUGUAGAGGUGAAAUUCGUAGAUAUUCGGAAGAACACCAGUGGCGAAGGCGGCUCACUGGUCCGAUACUGACGCUGAGGUGCGAAAGCGUGGGGAGCAAACAGG